CAUAAAUCUAAAGAAGGAUUAAUGGAAAUCAUUAAUUUAACCUAUAAUAUGAAUAAAGAUGGUAAAGGUAGAAAAUUAACUAAAGAGGAGUAUAUUAAUUUAAUAGAAUUAAAAUUUAAAUCUUCUUCUCCUCUAAAUAUUGUACCUAAACUUGAAGAUAAUAAUUAUGGGGAAAUUGUUGAUUAUGAUAGUGCACGAGAAGAAAUUCUGAAAGAAUUAAAAACAACACUAAUAACAGAUAAGAUUGAAUUAUCCGAUAAAUCAAAAUUAGAAUCUUUAAUUGAUUUUGAUUUUACAGAUAUUAUUAAUAAACCCUAACAUCAGGAAGAGUUGAAGGUAUAGUCUAAACUGGUUUGAAAAAAUCAGAAUUAAAUUGGAAAGGCCAAUCUAACCUGGAGAUAGCUGGUAUUCCGCGAAACAUAUUUUGGUAUGUUGUCCUUCGUAUCUGUAAACUGGUACAGCACUGGAUACUAUGUCCCUUGUGGACUUGAUUGGGGGGUCGUGAUGGCUCUAUCAAUAGAAUCGGUUGUAAAACCGAUUCCCAAAUAAUUUUAUUUGGGAAUCUAACCUCAGAAUAGUUUAUAGUUAAUAAAGGACGGUCAGACUAUAGGUGCUAAGGUCUUUAGUCGAGAGGGAAACAGCCCAGAACAAGAAUUAAGGUCCCUAAAUACUACUAAGUGAAAUUAAGGUAGUCCAUGAAAUUACACAACCAUUCGGUGGGCUUGGAAGCAGCCAUCCGUUAAUGAAAGCGUAAUAGCUCAAUGGUCUGUAUUAAUAAGUUUCAAGGGCACCGACAAUGUAUCGGGUCUAAGUAGUAUACCGAGAUCUUGUCCCAACAUUAUAAAGAAUGUUGGAGGGUAGCGGAACACUCAGGACAUGGUUGAAGGAUAGGGUUUCCUUAUCUGGACAUAACUGAGGAGAGAAUGCUGACAUGAGUAACGUAAAAGUGGAUAAAAUCCCACUCGCCGAAAGCAGAAGGGUUUCAUGGCUAGGCUCAACCUCCAUGAGUAAAGUAACGGCCUCUAAGAUUUUUAAAACCAGGGCCCACCGGGAUGGGCACUUACCCCUUGGGGUGAGGGUUCACCCCGGCGGGGCUCUAUAUGAGUGAACUCCGAUAGGAGUAAUCGAUGAGAAAAACUAAUUUAGAUAACAGUUUUAAUAUUAAUAUACAUCAGUAAUGGUGUAGCAUUAAUUUAAAAUUCAGGAAAUGAUCUAAUUAUUUAACCGUACCCUAAACCGACACUGGUCUGCUGGUAGAAUAUACCAAGGCGUUGAGCGAAUCAUCUUGAAGGAACUCGGCAAAAUGACUCCGUAACUUCGGGAGAAGGAGUACGAUUUUUAUGAUCGUGGCACAGAAUAGAAGAGUACGACUGUUUACUUAAAACACCGGUCUUUGCUAAUAGGAAACUAGAUGUAUAAAGACUGAUACCUGCUCAGUGCUGGUAAGUCAAGAGAGGUACUAAUACGGUACUGAUUGAACCUCCAGUAAACAGCGGUUGUAACUAUAACGAUCCUCAGGUAGCGAAAUACCUUGGCCACUAAUUAUGGUCGCGCAUGAAUGGUUUAACGAUACUCUUACUGUCUCCAAGAUGAGCUCAGUGAAAUUGAAUUAUCCGUGCAGAUGCGGAUUACCAUUAGCUAGACGGGAAGACCCUAUGCAGCUUUACUGUAGUUAGUCAUUGUGUGCUUAUAAUUAAGGUGUAGAAUACAAGGGAGUCGAUUAGACAUCAGUGAAAUACCUUGACUUGAUUAGGAGCACGCUAUACGGAAUAAUUCCGGACAGUGAUUAAUGGGCAGUUUAUCUGGGGCGGAUUUCUCCCAUAUAGUACCGGAGAAGUACAAAG
rnacentral:rRNA from 1 species